GGGGGUGUUCUGGAUUCGACGGGUUGAGUAGCGCCGUAAGUUGCAUGUCGAGAUUGUCCAAUGAUUCUCGUAAUAACAAUCAUUAUGGAACAAAAGUAAUUGACAAUAAUUACUCAUACCGCCUAGCAGCAUAAACUGCUAAGCCGAUCCCUUGGUUAAGUGCCUAUCAUUGCCAAGCCGAUCGUCAUACAAGAUAGGAUAGCGCAGUGGUGCUUUCUGUCGCCAUUGCGUAAAACUAAAACAGAAUAGUUUGAAGUCGCUUAGUUACUGGGCUCGGCUUCAGGCGAAUUUUUAAUCAGUGACUAAACAUGUAGAUGCUUGCAGGUUUACCUUCUCGGACCGGGGUUCGACUCCCCGCACCUCCACUA
rnacentral:tmRNA from 1 species